ACAACGAGUAGAGAGACCUGAUCUUCAGCUUAGAAUAUUUUUCCACUAUUGCCUGAAUAAUAAUUGUUGGAUUUUUUUCCCUCUUCUCUCUUCUCCCCUUCUUUUUCAUUCUCACCCUUUCCUCUCUCCCUCACUCUCUCUCACUGUCUGCCUUUAUUCCUCCCUAUACACAGGAUUUUCCAGACACGGUUUAGAUGUCCUCCUCUAUCUACUAAACAGAAUACAAGCAUUGAGGCUCCUAAAGUUGAUAUUAACAUUAAAUUAAUGGAUUGGAGGACAGAUGGAGAUGCGAGGUCCUGAAAUGAGCAGUUAAAGUAUCUUUAGAAGAAGAAAAAACAGUUUUGAUCCCGCCGACCUAAGAUUUUUAGGAGAAGCACCACUUGUUCCCGCUUGCUGUCUGUCUCUAUGAAAUUAUGUUGUUGGUCCAGGCAAAUAUGGCGGAUGUGGCAGCCAUGACUCUGUCCGUCUGUCUAUCAAGCUUAUAAAUACAAUGACCAAGUCAAAGACAAACUAACAGAUUGCAAACCCACUGGUAUAUACACUGGACUAUAUUAAAAUGUGCAAUCUGUAUAUUUAAUGAGGAUUGAACCAAAAAGCUAGCAAUCUAUUUAUCCUCUCUGGAAAAUUAAGCUGGUAUUAUCGAUUCAUUUCUGAUAGGUUCAGCUCAUGUAUAUCUCCCCCUCUCAUACACCUCUGGUUUUAUUUAAUUUACAACAGAUCCUUUCAUUAUAGAACUCUGGGCCCCACAGUGAUUGGCAUUGGGGAUUCAUCCUAUGGAAAAGGUGUCAUUAAAUAAUUAAGCAAUAGAGAUGAUGGCUUCUUAUUCCUUUACACAGAUGAAAUCGAUUAAAAGUUUUACUAAUUUAUA